AGCAUUUCGAAUUCAUCCUGAGAUCUCGUCAGACGCCAGAACAUCAGGACUGAUGAGACUCAGAAGAUAAAUGAAGCC
rfam:Schistosoma haematobium scaffold116_6, whole genome shotgun sequence.